UGGGUAAUCUUCAGGUUUAUUGCAGCAACUUGGGAGAAGUCACAUGAAAAAAUGUAUGACACAUAACUAGAUUUGUAUUUUUCUGAACAUCUGUAGUAGGUAGCAAGCAACUAACUUUACCUUUUUGCAUCACUGUUGGAAUAUUAAUUGCUAUAUUUCCUUAAGAGUCAACAUGACUAACUGCUUGAUGCCAAAGUUAGUUGGAAGUCUGAACUCAAACACAGUUGCGGGUGCCUUACAGCUGCAGGCGAUUUCUUCAGAAAAUUGGAAAGCUGCUGGAGUAAUCUAGUGUUUAUCUCACUUGAUUCAUUUCGUGCCAGCGAGUGAAAGGCGUAGCGAAUUCAAGUUGAGCUGUUGCGUGCCGUCUUCAAGCAAUCAAUCCAGCCGUUCCGUUCAGUCAUUUGAACAGGAAUCUUAUGGCUGUCACUAGGUGGCUAAAAUGAUGUUCACCACCAGGUGGCGCCUGUGUCUUGAAGAAGAAAAUUUGACCAUUUUGUUUCAAGACGCAGCCGAUUUGUUACUGGUCGUGACGUUUCUCAAGAUGAAAAUGUGAUUUAGCAUGUAAAAACCACUUUGCCAAACUGAAACUCUGACUUGAAAGUAUAUUUUGCCGAAAUGUCGUGCCUCGUGUCGGUCUCGUGUGUCUUGCUGUCUGUUCCAAGGCGUACGUCUCAUCUCAUGCUACAGCAAAAGUAUAAUAAUCACACUUGUUUUACAUUGUGGUUAACGUGUCGCAGCCAGAUGGUGAAAGGUGUGAUGAAAACUGAUCCCCUGUUGUAUGCAGCAUGUGGUGCCAGUGUUAUCCUGCGGUAGCUGUACUUGUGUGUCUUGCCACCUGUUCCCAGGUGUACGUCUCAUCCCAUGCUUCAGCAAAAGUAUAAUUAUUUUAU
rnacentral:lncRNA from 1 species